UUCAGGAAGAUCGCACGGUCGGAUUGGACGCGGAGAGCCACGGCCUGAUGUUUUAUUGCUCCGGCGGUAUUAUGGAAACCGAUGUCGACUGCUACGAAUCCUUGCCCGAUUGCAACUGUUGCAGGGACGAGACGAACGUUUAAGGUAUAAAUCAGUUUUCUUCUUCUUCUUCUUACUUUUAUUUUUUAUUUAAUUUUAAAUUUUGUGCGUGUGUCAGUGUGUGUGUGUGUGUUUUUUAAUAACGCGGAAGGGGGGAAAAUGAGUAUACCGAAGGUGGCAGUCUUGAAAGUUCGGACACCAUCGAUGAAAUUUUUGCAGCCGGUGAUUACGGUCUCGGCAGAUCCAUCCCCGUAGAUGGUAAUAUUCUCUUUUCUGACUAAAACAGAUUCUUUGUAGACUCCUUUCUUUAUAUAUACCACAACUCUACAGCACAAAGAAUCAAAAUCAGAAAUCCGAAUGUGAUUGAUGAUGGAUCCAUAGUUUGUUAGUUACCUUCCUUCGUGAUGUUUGGGUAUAGAAGUGAUAGCAUCAAGAAUAGUUGUGAAAUUGCCAGUGCCAUCCUGAGCCAC
rnacentral:lncRNA from 1 species